AAAAAAAAAAAAAAAAAUUCUUCUCGCAUGAGCCGAACGCACAUCUUUUUGCUUAAAAGGUUUUCAAACAUAGCUCUAUUAUUGAAUUAGUAAAUAAAGAAAAUUAAGAGUUUAUAAAUAAAUAGAGAUUAAAUUAAAAUUUAAUUAAUACAUCAUUAAAUAAAUAUUAGUUAUAUGCUAUUAUUAUCAAGAAAUUGUUGAU
rnacentral:misc_RNA from 1 species